AACCUGACAAUACUGUCUAAAUCCCUGGACCUUUAACUCGUAGACCCGAAGGACUUGGCCAGGGAGUCCAGAAAUCCGCCCCCACCCCGCCUUUUUCAACGGACGCCAGUUUGAGCUGGUGAUUCCGUCGCUCCGAACAGCAAGAUUCCUGGUUACUAUGCGUUCCUUCCAAUGGCUGCGGAGGCAUCAUCAACUUCACAACUCUGCUGAGGACCCCGGCAGUGAGGAAAAAGAGGCCAGGUACAUCUGACUCAGCCAGUUCUGCAGAAACCAAUGGUUUCGACCAGACUCACCCCAGGAGGCGUGCGCUCAGUUACCUGGGAAUUACCUCUCUGCCAGAACAUCCUCCCAGAUGAAGGAAACUGAAGAUCAGACAGCUUAAGCGACUUGUUCAAAUACGAAGAGCUAACAUCUAGUCCACCGGCUUCUUCUCCUUUGACUCAUGAAUCCUUCCUAACCGUCUCAUUGAACAGUACGCCACAAAGAUCGUGCAACAUCCUUCAUCAUAUUAAGACAAGUUUUGACUUGUCCCCACUUAACAUGUGAUGGAAAGCUGGUGGAUUUACCUUAAAUUAUUUAUGAAACAGAGAACAAAAAACAUGAGUCGGUCUCAGGACAGAGUUUUACUAUAUGUUGCAAGGCAUAAAAAAAAAAGAAAAAGACAAAACAACCUCCCUUUAUGAGCUGAGGUUUAGAAUGCUAAAUUCUGUGCUGAUUUUUUUUAAACAUAUAAUUGUUGUUCUAAAUGACAAGAUGUAAGAAAAGGUUUCCGGCUGAUAUUUGCAAGCACAUCUCUCUGCAAAUAACACAUUGCAGGUGUGGAGAGUCAUUACUCCCAAUAUAUGCAAAGCAAAAUUGUGUAUAAUUGUUGCUAUACGUUCUGUUUUUUACUUUAGUUUUGAAGCGCUCCCUGUAAGACUUUUAUCGGAUGAAUGCCACUCUCAAAUCUGCGGAAGGUCAGCCUCGGGUGAAUUUGCUGAUUUAUUAUCGGAUUCUUGUUCCUCAUGAAUUGCUGCGUCUCAGUAUCCCUGCUCUGUAUGUAUGCCUGUUUUCAAAUAAUGGUCCAUCACAGGUGUACAUUAAAUAAUCUAUGAUGGGGGACGGGGGGUGUUGCAAAGAGCCAAUGUGUCCCAACAGCUUACCCUGGCUGUAAGGGUUAUCAGAUUCCCCGGUCUCCAGUCGGGUCUUGCCCAACCUCGCCAGAAGAUACUGCAACUUUGCACGGGCCCCAAGGUCUUCAAGCGCGAGAGCUGGCCUUGCCGGACAAACUCUUGCCAACGGCUGGACUUCAUUAGUCUGUUCAUUCCCCCCACACUGAUGCGUCUGCCUUCCGAAAACAGGAAAGGGCAAGGGAAUGGAUCUGUCCCCCAGAGCGUAAGCUCACAUGGCAAAUCUAGAACCAUCUGGCCCCGUACACUUCUCCACAGGUUGAGGAGAGGACAGGGGGACCCCGACUUCUCCUGCUGUUUCCUUCCACUGACAAAGACUCUGUCCUUACCUACGCCGUAGGACAGUGAGAUGGUCUCGAAUCCCGGUACCCGUGGUGACAGCUGGUGAUGCUGAAAGGGCCCCCCACCCCCACCCCGCCAACGUGAUGACAAAGCAUAAAAACAACUUAAAAGUGUAGAAUAGCCCUAAUGAGGGGCAGACAAAAAACAGUGGGCAGGAAGUGGUUCAUCAGGAGAAUUAAGGCCCUUGCCCCCAAUGACGUCUGUAGGUAAAGCUGAUUAUCUGCAAUGACUCAGGGGCAAAGCGUGGCUGAAAAGAGCAGGAACUAAAGCCUGUUGAGAGCCCGUGACUGAGCUGGGUUGAAAGGGUAAGAUAAAUAUGUUCUGAGAGCCACACGAGAAGGGGAAAAGGCCUGCAGAGGACACAAGCCACACAGGGGUGUUCUGUGGGGGUCUCUCUUACCUCUAGCUGCCUGGGUCCCGGAAGGGAAGUGAGUCACUUUCUGAUAACUCACAAUCAAUUGAGGUCCAUCAAGAUUUUUAAAAACUAUUUUGUAAUUUUUUUUUUUUUUUUUUUUGAGAGAGAGAGAGAGAAUGCAUGUGAGCAGGGGAAGGGCAGAGAGAGAGGGAGACACAGAAUCCGAAGCAGGCUCCAGGCUCUGAGCUGCCAGUACAGAGCCCGACGUGGGGCUCGAACCCACAAACCGCGAGAUCAUGACCUGAGCCGGAGUCUGACGCUUAACUGACUGAGCCACCCAGGCACCCCUAGGUCUGUCAAGGUUAA